rnacentral:misc_RNA from 1 species
ACACCUCAACUCUCAUGGUCCGCCAUGAUGAGCUUGGACUUUGGAGGUAUUGCCGGCCCAAUUGUCGGCUCCUCUCAAAUGGAUCAGCUUGCCAGUGUUUGGUGGCAUCACGGGUGUGAUAACUAUCUACGCUCGUGGUUUUCCAUCAUGUAACCUUCAGCGAUGGAGGUUCGCUGGAGCUCACAGACGUCUCUCCUCAGGGAGGACAGCUUUUUGAAC